UAGAGUUUGUUCCUGGCUCAGGAUGAACGCUAGCUACAGGCUUAACACAUGCAAGUCGAGGGGCAGCAUGGUCUUAGCUUGCUAAGGCCGAUGGCGACCGGCGCACGGGUGAGUAACACGUAUCCAACCUGCCGUCUACUCUUGGACAGCCUUCUGAAAGGAAGAUUAAUACAAGAUGGCAUCAUGAGUCCGCAUGUUCACAUGAUUAAAGGUAUUCCGGUAGACGAUGGGGAUGCGUUCCAUUAGAUAGUAGGCGGGGUAACGGCCCACCUAGUCUUCGAUGGAUAGGGGUUCUGAGAGGAAGGUCCCCCACAUUGGAACUGAGACACGGUCCAAACUCCUACGGGAGGCAGCAGUGAGGAAUAUUGGUCAAUGGGCGAGAGCCUGAACCAGCCAAGUAGCGUGAAGGAUGACUGCCCUAUGGGUUGUAAACUUCUUUUAUAAAGGAAUAAAGUCGGGUAUGCAUACCCGUUUGCAUGUACUUUAUGAAUAAGGAUCGGCUAACUCCGUGCCAGCAGCCGCGGUAAUACGGAGGAUCCGAGCGUUAUCCGGAUUUAUUGGGUUUAAAGGGAGCGUAGAUGGAUGUUUAAGUCAGUUGUGAAAGUUUGCGGCUCAACCGUAAAAUUGCAGUUGAUACUGGAUAUCUUGAGUGCAGUUGAGGCAGGCGGAAUUCGUCGUGUAGCGGUGAAAUGCUUAGAUAUGACGAAGAACUCCGAUUGCGAAGGCAGCCUGCUGUAGCGCAACUGACGCUGAAGCUCGAAAGCGUGGGUAUCGAACAGGAUUAGAUACCCUGGUAGUCCACGCGGUAAACGAUGGAUGCUCGCUGUUUGCGUCUGACGUAAGCGGCCAAGCGAAAGCGUUAAGCAUCCCACCUGGGGAGUACGCCGGCAACGGUGAAACUCAAAGGAAUUGACGGGGGCCCGCACAAGCGGAGGAACAUGUGGUUUAAUUCGAUGAUACGCGAGGAACCUUACCCGGGCUUGAACUGCAGCGGACGGAUACAGAGAUGUUGACUCCCUUCGGGGCCGCUGUGGAGGUGCUGCAUGGUUGUCGUCAGCUCGUGCCGUGAGGUGUCGGCUUAAGUGCCAUAACGAGCGCAACCCUUGUUCGUAGUUGCCAUCGGGUGAAGCCGGGCACUCUGCGAAGACUGCCUCCGUAAGGAGUGAGGAAGGUGGGGAUGACGUCAAAUCAGCACGGCCCUUACGUCCGGGGCUACACACGUGUUACAAUGGCAUGUACAGAAAGCAGGGCGUAUGCAAAUACGCUCGAAUCCCUAAAACAUGUCUCAGUUCGGACUGGGGUCUGCAACCCGACCCCACGAAGCUGGAUUCGCUAGUAAUCGCGCAUCAGCCAUGGCGCGGUGAAUACGUUCCCGGGCCUUGCACUCACCGCCCGUCAAG
rnacentral:rRNA from 1 species